GAAUACAGCUGUCAGAUAGAACGUCUGCUACAAUGAAGAUCGACAAUGUAACGCAUAAGCACAUUUAAAUGAUAUCUUCACAGAAGAAUUGAAUACCAUAUGGAAAGCUGACAUCAAGCAGCAAUUAGAACGACAAGACAAAACAUGAUGGACCACUAUUAAGUAAAUGAGUACAACAUAUAUUAAUAUGUGAAGAGACUUUUAGCACCAACCUGAACAACAAAACAAACAUGAAUUAUAUAUGUAGAUUUUGAAAUUUAACAAAGACCAAGAUGUGAAGAGACUUUAAGCACCAACCUGAACAACAAGACAAAAAUGAAUUAUAUAUGUAGAUUUUGAAAUUUAACAAAG